rnacentral:tRNA from 1 species
GCCUGGGUGGCUCAGUCAGUUAAGCAUCUGACUUCGGCUCAGGUCAUGAUCUCACAGUUCAUGGGUUUGAGCCCCAUGUCGGGCU